UACGUAGGGUGCGAGCGUUGUCCGGAAUUAUUGGGCGUAAAGAGCUUGUAGGCGGUUUGUCGCGUCUGCUGUGAAAUCUCAAGGCUCAACCUUGAGCUUGCAGUGGGUACGGGCAGACUAGAGUGUGGUAGGGGAGACUGGAAUUCCCGGUGUGGCGGUGAAAUGCGCAGAUAUCAGGAGGAACACCGAUGGCGAAGGCGGCUCUCUGGGACGGUACUGACGCUGAGACGCGAAAGCGUGGGGAGCGAACAGG
rnacentral:rRNA from 1 species